rnacentral:rRNA from 1 species
UACGAGAGGCCCAAACGUUAUUCGGAUUUACUGGGCUUAAAGAGUUCGUAGGCGGCUUGGAAAGUGGGGUGUGAAAGCCCUCGGCUCAACCGAGGAAUUGCGCUCCAAACUACCGAGCUUGAGGAAGCUAGAGGUGAGCAGAACUGAUGGUGGAGCGGUGAAAUGCGUUGAUAUCAUCAGGAAUACCGGAGGCGAAGGCGGCUCACUGGGACUUUUCUGACGAUGAGGAACGAAAGAUAGGGGAGCAAACGGG